rnacentral:rRNA from 1 species
CCUACGGGUGGCUGCAGUGAGGAAUAUUGGUCAAUGGACGAGAGUCUGAACCAGCCAAGUAGCGUGAAGGAUGACUGCCCUCUGGGUUGUAAACUUCUUUUAUAUGGGAAUAAAACGUUCCACGUGUGGGAUUUUGUAUUUCCCAUAUGAAUAAGGAUCGGAUAACUCCGUGCCCGCAGCCGCGGUAAUACGGAGGAUCCGAGCGUUAUCCGGAUUUAUUGGGUUUAAAGGGAGCGUAGGUGGAUUGUUAAGUCAGUUGUGAAAGUUUGCGGCUCAACCGUAAAAUUGCAGUUGAAACUGGCAGUCUUGAGUACAGUAGAGGUGGGCGGAAUUCGUGGUGUAGCGGUGAAAUGCUUAGAUAUCACGAAGAACUCCGAUUGCGAAGGCAGUUCACUGGACUGCAACUGACACUGAGGCUCGAAAGUGUGGGUAUCAAACAGGAUUAGAUACCCCUGUAGUC